GGGGGCGACAGGCUUCGACGGGGGCAAGGGACUGUGGAAUGCAUGCCGAGCUCGUUCAUCUCGCUCGUUAAACCGGUGAACAAACAACGCAACUGCGGACUCGCAGCUCGCACUCGCGGCCUAAUUAAGCCGCGACGUUCCUCCCGGUCAGCCUACGGGCCGGACAGGAACGCCAUUCAGUAGGCUGGUUCCGACACGCGCCCGGCGAGGUCGGAACGAGACACAUUCGGGAUGGCUGCCGGCGGUUGGCCGUUCUACCCUGCCGGUGGCGACAUUCAAAGAACGGCUAAGCAUGUAGGGUUCUGCAGCGACAGGCCUUUCGGACGCGGGUUCGACUCCCGCCGCCUCCACCA
rnacentral:tmRNA from 1 species